CCUACGGGAGGCAGCAGUGGGGAAUAUUGCGCAAUGGGCGAAAGCCUGACGCAGCGACGCCGCGUGAGGGAUGAAGGUCUUCGGAUCGUAAACCUCUGUCAGCAGGGAAGAACGGUCACUGUGCUAAUCAGCAGUGAAUUGACGGUACCUGCAAAGGAAGCACCGGCUAACUCCGUGCCAGCAGCCGCGGUAAUACGGAGGGUGCGAGCGUUAAUCGGAAUUACUGGGCGUAAAGCGCUCGUAGGCGGUAUGUCAAGUCAAGGGUGAAAUCCCCGCGCUCAACGUGGUAACUGCCUUUGAAACUGGCAAACUGGAGUGUGUGAGAGGAUAGUGGAAUUGCAGGUGUAGGAGUGAAAGCCGUAGAUAUCUGGAGGAACAUCAGUGGCGAAGGCGACUAUCUGGCACAUAACUGACGCUGAGGAGCGAAAGCGUGGGUAGCAAACAGGAUUAGAUACCCUUGUAGUC
rnacentral:rRNA from 1 species